CAGAGAGUCCAGUGGCAUUGGGAGCUGCCUCAUGUUCUGCAGCCUCACAGACGGACAGGAGGUCCAGCACCGCUGCUCUGUUCUUCUGGUUUUCCUCCUGAACAUGUUUUGGGCGCAGCAACAAUUUCUUUCAUCUUUUUAAACACAGGUACCUUUGGGGCUGGCCUUCUCAAGGAAGCCUAGCUUCUUGUGAUUGAGAAUAAAGUGUGCAAUCGCUAUGAGUAUCUGAAUGGAAGAGUCAAAUCCACCGAGCUCUGUGCUGGGCAUUUGGCUGGAGGCAUUGACAGUUGCAAGUUUUUACCUUGGAAAAUACUGACAGCAUUUCUGAAGAUACGAGAUCCAAAGUCUGAUGAGGCUGGCAAACAGAGAGUCUAGGGCAGCAUUUCCUAAGGUGACGCCUAUUAACACUACUCCCCUGAGGCCUCCAAAAACACUCUAGUCCCAUGAGAGGCUCCAAAGCAACAGCAACAAUGACACCAUGCCUUGGGGUAA